rnacentral:lncRNA from 1 species
GUAAAUGCAUGCCAAAUCUCGCAAUGAUGUUGGCCUGCUCCCAAAGUUGCAAAAUAAUGAAGAAAACGUUGGGUUUAGAACUCUGUGCCCAUUUUUAACAACGUUCCUUAUGGGAUGUAACCUUUGGCUGCCCUGGGCAGAUUCUCCUGUGAGUCGGUGGAUUUGGUUUCUACAGAGCUCAGCCACCUGCACCAGUCAGUGA